UCGGACCAGGCUUCAUUCCCGU
rnacentral:miRNA from 2 species